rnacentral:rRNA from 1 species
CGGGGUGAGUAAUGUCUGGGAAACUGCCUGAUGGAGGGGGAUAACUGCUGGAAACGGUAGCUAAUACCGCAUAACGUCGCAAGACCAAAGAGGGGGCCUUCGGGCCUCUUGCCAUCGGAUGUGCCCAGAUGGGAUUAGCUAGUAGGUGGGGUAACGGCUCACCUAGGCGACGAUCCCUAGCUGGUCUGAGAGGAUGGCCAGCCACACUGGAACUGAGACACGGUCCAG